ACUUGAACGAAAGAGUGCAAACAUCAAAAUUGUUGCAUCAUGAAAAUGUAGCAAUACAAGACAAGACAUCAUGAAAAUGUAGCAAUACAAAACUGUUGCAUCAUAAUUGAUAAUUGAUAUUCAGCUAUAAGAAGUCAACAGACCAAAUUUCCCACUACGAAAAUUGUGAAUUUUGUUACAGUUGAGAAAACAUGCAAGUGGUUAAAGCCUCCCAAAUAACUAAGUGUAAGCUCAUAAAAAACGAAAACUGCCAAUUUUGUUACAGUUGAGAAAAUAUGUAAGCUUAUCAAACACAAUGUCUCAAGCUCAUUUUUUUUCUCUUCCAUCUGCUUAUGCACAGCACGUAACUAAGUGGUUAAAGCUUAAAAGUAUCCAUAUCAAACAGAAUUAAAUUUCAUAUCCAGGUUCAAGUCCUGGAAACAGCCUCUUACAGAAAUGUAGGGAAAGGCUGCGUACUAUAGACCCAAAGUGGUCGGACCCUUCCCUGGACCCUGCGCAAGCGGGAGCUACAUGCACCAGGUUGCCCUUUUAUCCAGGUUUCACACUCUGAAUGCUUCCAUCAUAUCUGAUCCACUUUUACUUCUACUGAAAGUGUGCUCUAUUUUGAUGGACAUAACAAAGGUAAGAAAAUCAAAUUGUGGAACAGAUCAGUAUAGAAAAAUAUUGAACCAACUCCAAUAGUUGUUUGUUAGAAUUUAGACCAACAUAAGAGCAUCCUAGCAGAUCCAGUAAAAACGGUCAAACCUUCAGAUUUACUGUACAGGUUGGAAAAAAAACACCGAAUAGAUCCUGUAAAAUAGCAUACCCCAUAUUUUUUUACAGGUUCCCGUAUAUUAGAGCAACCAUCUGUCAUAUUUGGAGGAUUCAAACCGUUUUUUGAGGAUCCCAUAAAACCGGUCAACACUGGAGCAGGGGGCCUGGCAACGCCGCGUGCGAGCAGCGAGCAGGCGGAGGAGCUCGGCAGCGGC
rnacentral:lncRNA from 1 species